CACUGGAAUUGAUAAUUCAGUGCUCUGGAGGACCAGAGUUAGGAAGAUCUAUCACCUGUCCUCUCUUGUCCAAGGAUGCCACUGACUUCCUGAGGGGUCAUCUAACUCCAAAGGAAAUGCAAAUCUGGCACAGUUUGGGAGAGAGAUGGACAAAAUCAAGGGAAGAGUGGCCAAAGGAACCUUUAAUCCCACAGUACAUACCAAGAUUUAAUAAUGGAUGGAUACCUCCAAUAGACAUCUUCCAGGGAGCACCUUGGGAGCAAGAUAUGAGACACCCACCAGAGCCUAUUA